UUCCCCCCAAACACCAUCUCUCGACUUAGACUAAACACUCGCUACUCUUUCAACUUUCUCUGUCUUUUCUGCCGAAUUGAAGAAUGAUGGAUUGAAGACCGGGUGAUUACAAUUUCAUAGAUUGGGGCUUUUACAGUUGCUCCGAUUAAGAGGCGAUUGGGUUUCAUAGUAUAGCUAAUUAGGGUUCAAGCGAUUUGCAUUAAAGCUAAUUUGGUGUUUAAAGCUUGCAUUGAGGUGCAAUCUGUCCAAUUGGUGAGGACCUAGGUUAAUCAUAAUGGAACCUGAUUAUGAUUACAGCUGGAUAGGACUUCCAAGAUACAAUAAAGAAUAUAAGAUGGGGAUAAAAGCGUUUGUAGAUAAGGCAUUUCCUCUUUUUGGCGUAGGUGAUGAAAUGAAUUGUCCCUGCAGAGAUUGUAAUGAUCGUAAGUGGCAUAGUCAAGAUGUCAUUUAGGAUCAUCUCAUUUGUAGAGGACCUUCUCUAUUACAGGUUCAAUGGAUUUGUAAGAUUUCACAAGCCAAAGUAAAAAAUAGUACUAAUUCUAAGGAUUUUGAAGCCGGGAAUAGUUUUGGGGAUAAUGUAGAAGCGAUGUUUGAUUGUACGGGUAAGAGGUUUCAGAAUGUAGAACAUGGACCAAAUCCGGCUGCCAGAAAAUUUUAUCACCUUGUUGAAGAGGGAAAACAACCACUAUAGCCAGGCUGUACAAACUUUUCUCGGUUAAGUUUUAUGAUUAGACUUUAUCAUUUAAAGUGUAUUCAUGGAAUUACCGAAUCUGCCUUCGGGGAUCUACUAGGAUUAAUUAAAUCUGCCUUUCCUGAAGCCAAUGUUCCUUUAUCUUUCAAUGCUGCGAAGAACAUCAUCAAAGACUUAGGUCUCGACUAUCAAAAAAUACAUGCAUGUCCAAAUAGUUGCAUGUUAUACAGGGCAGAAAAUAAAGAUAAACAAAUUUGUGAUAAUUGUGGGGUUUCGAGGUGGGUUUUACAAGAAAAGAAAGGUUGUGCGGCUAAUAAUGAUCCAAAGAAGUUGAUUAGCAAAGUGCCAGCAAAUGUCAUGAGGUAUUUUCCGUUGAAACCUAGGUUGCAAAGG